rnacentral:rRNA from 1 species
UACGAAGGGGGCUAGCGUUGCUCGGAAUCACUGGGCGUAAAGCGCACGUAGGCGGAUCGCUAAGUCAGGGGUGAAAUCCUGGAGCUCAACUCCAGAACUGCCUUUGAUACUGGCAAUCUCGAGUCCGGGAGAGGUGAGUGGAACUGCGAGUGUAGAGGUGAAAUUCGUAGAUAUUCGCAAGAACACCCGUGGCGAAGGCGGCUCUCUGGGACGGUACUGACGCUGAGACGCGAAAGCGUGGGGAGCAAACAGG